ensembl:lncRNA LNC-LBCS lncRNA bladder and prostate cancer suppressor, hnRNPK interacting
GGGCGGUCGCCCUGACAACGCAGACGCCAGCCCGCACAAUGACUUCCAGCUGGAGCAGCCCAGCCAGCCUGCGCGCUCACUCGCUUGCUUGCGCUGGGCUUCAGGGCGCCCGGGUUUUUCUGUGGACCUAAAUUUUCAUUUCUCUGGGAUAAAUGUCCAGGAGUGUGAUUGCUGGGUCAUAUGUAUUUGUACAGUUGAGCCGAAAUGCCUGUUCUAACAAAGAGAGCCUGGGUGGGACUGCCAAGAUGAAUAGACAUAAUCCUCGAUCUAACCACUUCACAGUUUAUCAUCGGAGUCAAGUUUGCAGAUAAACAAUUGCCAUGCAACUUUCAAGAGACGGGGUGUCAUCCUGUUGCUCAGGCUGGUCUCAAACUCCUGGCCCUAAGUGAUCCUCCUGCCUCAGCCUCUCAAAGUGCUGGGAUUACGGGUGUGAACCUAAUCGCAGAGAAAAUGGUGCCUGAGAUGAGCAAGGUCAGCAGACAAGAAGUGAGGUCAAUGUCAGGUUUCCAUGCCAGCAGCGGGAACUCUGGAUACAGUGGAGAGUCACAGCUGGUCAAACCCUGAACCGCUUGCUCCUUGAAAUGGCCAGAGAGGCCCAUCCCAGAGCCAUCUCAUCAUCUCUCCUCAGACAGGAAACCGAGAAGGAAAACAAUCAGCUCUGUUCUCUCUGGGCCGAGGGAGUGAGCUGUAAUGAGGGAGCACAGGAACGCAUUGGGCGCCCUCAGACCUGAACACACAGUUGAGAAUAACUCAUCCAGGGUUGUUGAAUGGUGGAGGAUCUUCCAAAAUCAGCAGCUAGGAGGUCGAGAACCCUUCAUGCCAUACUAAGAAGUUUCAUGCUAGGCAAAGAAGAGUGACAAGGUAUUUCAACAGGUGAAUGAUGCACUCAUGAGGAAGUCCACAGAAGGCUGUUACUGCUAUGUCUGGUGGACCCGAAAACAUGGCAGGUCAGCAGUUGGGAAGAAACGCUGGAUCUGAAGCAGGGGAAGUGAGGACAAACAGAACUUGUAAAGGCAACACGGAAUGCAUGAAAUCAAUGACAUGCAUGAUCUGCAGAAGAAGCUACUCUCCUUUGCCAUGGAGCUGCAAACGUGGCUGGCCCUGGACUUGGAGAAGCUCCGGAGUGGAAUCUGGCAGGGCCUAGAGAAGCUGUGGGCUCAGCAGCUGCUCUCUCACCACAGCAUGAGCCAGAAUCAGCAACGAUGCUUGUGAGCUGCUGCAGCCAUUGGUACCUUACGCUGACCUCCAGGGAUGAAUGGCUGCUGAUACACAUAUGCCUCUGAAUCUUGCACAAUCCUCGCUUAUGCCAACCCCAAUGAAAAGCCAUACAGGGAAUUCUGGGAAUUGUAUUUCCUGCUAAGCUAACUUGACACAAUGUAAAUUUACUGCAAACAUGAACAACACAUGGUCCUUCCAUCAAGUCUGGGGAUGAAGGUUACAAGUAAUAACAAAUAAAUGCAAUAAAGGGU